GACGAACGCUGGCGGCGUGCUUAACACAUGCAAGUCGAACGGAAAGGCCCUGCUUUUGUGGGGUGCUCGAGUGGCGAACGGGUGAGUAACACGUGAGUAACCUGCCCUUGACUUUGGGAUAACUUCAGGAAACUGGGGCUAAUACCGGAUAGGAGCUCCUGCUGCAUGGUGGGGGUUGGAAAGUUUCGGCGGUUGGGGAUGGACUCGCGGCUUUUCAGCUUGUUGGUGGGGUAGUGGCUUACCAAGGCUUUGACGGGUAGCCGGCCUGAGAGGGUGACCGGCCACAUUGGGACUGAGAUACGGCCCAGACUCCUACGGGAGGCAGCAGUGGGGAAUAUUGCACAAUGGGCGGAAGCCUGAUGCAGCAACGCCGCGUGCGGGAUGACGGCCUUCGGGUUGUAAACCGCUUUCGCCUGUGACGAAGCGUGAGUGACGGCAAUGGGUAAAGAAGCACCGGCUAACUACGUG
rnacentral:rRNA from 1 species